UUUUUCUUAAAGUGCAUGUCAAGUGUGCCUCAGAGUCUUACCCCACCCACGUAUCAAUUUUGAAAACUGCAACAUUAGUAGGCGUUGCCUGGAGGACCGAGAGGGCGGAGCCGUGGCAGUGACGAAGAGACGGCUAACUAGACGAAGCUAGCUCCCUUCACUUUGAGCAGUCAUUAGAAGUGGAGGACGUUUCUCCCCCUCCUUACCCAGACACUCGAGAAGAAAGGGACCAAGUCUAUUUGGAGGAGACAAGCGGACAUGAGCCUUAUUGUUUUGAGCUUGUGAGUUGCCUGAAAUUACUGGAACCGACCCAACAGACCCAUCUCUGAACGUGAUCCUCUGGUGUCUGCAGCUGGUCUCCUGCUGAUGUCGUCGGGAUCAGGAACUUCCAGAAGAAUGUGCCUUUCAAUGACUCUUUCCCCCUUAUUUGUUAUAUUAAUUAAAUAAAUCUCAAUUUA